rnacentral:rRNA from 1 species
AGAGUUUGAUCCUGGCUCAGGAUGAACGCUGGCGGCGUGCUUAACACAUGCAAGUCGAACGGAGAUGUUGUGUGAGCGUGAGGUGCUUGCACCAAACAAUCUUUCAACAUCUUAGUGGCGGACGGGUGAGUAACGCGUGGGUAACCUGCCUCAUACAGGGGGAUAACACUUAGAAAUAGGUGCUAAUACCGCAUAAGCGCACAGUAUCGCAUGAUACAGUGUGAAAAACUCCGGUGGUAUGAGAUGGACCCGCGUCUGAUUAGCUAGUUGGUGGGGUAACGGCCCACCAAGGCGACGAUCAGUAGCCGGCCUGAGAGGGUGAACGGCCACAUUGGGACUGAGACACGGCCCAAACUCCUACGGGAGGCAGCAGUGGGGAAUAUUGCACAAUGGGGGAAACCCUGAUGCAGCGACGCCGCGUGAGUGAAGAAGUAUUUCGGUAUGUAAAGCUCUAUCAGCAGGGAAGAAGAAUGACGGUACCUGACUAAGAAGCCCCGGCUAACUACGUGCCAGCAGCCGCGGU